rnacentral:rRNA from 3 species
CUAUACGGUGAAACUGCGAAUGGCUCAUUAAAUCAGUUAUCGUUUAUUUGAUAGUACCUACUACAUGGAUAACCGUGGUAAUUCUAGAGCUAAUACAUGCUAAAAACCUCGACGGAAGGGGUGUAUUUAUUAGAUAAAAAACCAAUGCCCUUCGGGGCUCCUUGGUGAAUCAUAAUAACUUAACGAAUCGCAUGGCCUUGCGCCGGCGAUGGUUCAUUCAAAUUUCUGCCCUAUCAACUUUCGAUGGUAGGAUAGUGGCCUACCAUGGUAUCAACGGGUAACGGGGAAUUAGGGUUCGACUCCGGAGAGGGAGCCUGAGAAACGGCUACCACAUCCAAGGAAGGCAGCAGGCGCGCAAAUUACCCAAUCCCGACACGGGGAGGUAGUGACAAUAAAUACUGAUACAGGGCUCUUUUGGGUCUUGUAAUUGGAAUGAGUACAAUUUAAAUCCCUUAACGAGGAACAAUUGGAGGGCAAGUCUGGUCCAGCAGCCGCGGUAAUUCCAGCUCCAAUAGCGUAUAUUAAAGUUGUUGCAGUUAAAAAGCUCGUAGUUGAACCUUGGGCCUGGCUGGCCGGUCCGCCUCACCGCGUGUACUGGUCCGGCCGGGCCUUCCUUCUGGGGAACCUCAUGCCCUUCACUGGGCGUGUGGGGACCAGGACUUUUACUUUGAAAAAAUUAGAGUGUUCAAAGCAGGCUUUGCUCGAAUACAUUAGCAUGGAAUAAUAGAAUAGGACGUGUGGUUCUAUUUUGUUGGUUUCUAGGACCGCCGUAAUGAUUAAUAGGGAUAGUCGGGGGCAUCAGUAUUCAAUCGUCAGAGGUGAAAUUCUUGGAUUGAUUGAAGACUAACUACUGCGAAAGCAUUUGCCAAGGAUGUUUUCAUUAAUCAGGAACGAAAGUUAGGGGAUCGAAGACGAUCAGAUACCGUCGUAGUCUUAACCAUAAACUAUGCCGACUAGGGAUCGGACGGUGUUGUAUUUGACCCGUUCGGC